rnacentral:rRNA from 1 species
UGUUUCCUACGGGAGGCAGCAGUGGGGAAUAUUGCACAAUGGGGGGGACCCUGAUGCAGCGACGCCGCGUGAAGGAAGAAGUAUCUCGGUAUGUAAACUUCUAUCAGCAGGGAAGAAAGAGGACGGUACCUGACUAAGAAGCCCCGGCUAACUACGUGCCAGCAGCCGCGGUAAUACGUAGGGGGCGAGCGUUAUCCGGAUUUACUGGGUGUAAAGGGAGCGGAGACGGCCAUGCAAGCUCGGUGUGAA